GGCGAACCGUGCGAACGUUAUUCGGAAUCAUUGGGCUUAAAGGGCGCGUAGGCGGCGGUGUAAGUUGGAAGUGAAAUCCCAUCGGCUCAACCGUGGAAUUGCUCCCAGUACUGCAUCGCUCGAGGGGGAUAGGGGUUUGCGGAACUACCGGUGGAGCGGUGAAAUGUGUUGAUAUCGGUGGGAACGCCAGUGGCGAAAGCGGCAAACUUGACCCUUCCUGACGCUGAGGCGCGAAAGCUAGGGGAGCAAACGGG
rnacentral:rRNA from 1 species